GACGAACGCUGGCGGCGUGCUUAACACAUGCAAGUCGAACGGAAAGGUCUCUUCGGAGAUGCUCGAGUGGCGAACGGGUGAGUAACACGUGAGUAACCUGUCCUGGUCUUUGGGAUAACCUUCGGAAACGGGGGCUAAUACCGGAUAUUCCCGCUCUAUCGCAUGGUGGGGUGGGGAAAGCUUUUGUGGAUCAGGUUGGGCUCGCGGCCUAUCAGCUUGUUGGUGGGGUGAUGGCCUACCAAGGCUUUGACGGGUAGCCGGCCUGAGAGGGCGACCGGCCACACUGGGACUGAGACACGGCCCAGGCUCCUACGGGAGGCAGCAGUGGGGAAUAUUGCACAAUGGACGGAAGUCUGAUGCAGCGACGCCGUGUGAGGGAUGACGGCCUUCGGGUUGUAAACCUCUUUCGAUAAGGACGAAGCCUCUUCGGGGGUGACGGUACUUGUAGAAGAAGCGCCGGCCAACUACGUGCCAGCAGCCGCCGUAACAC
rnacentral:rRNA from 1 species